rnacentral:rRNA from 1 species
UGGGGAAUUUUGGACAAUGGGGGAAACCCUGAUCCAGCCAUCCCGCGUGUGCGAUGAAGGCCUUCGGGUUGUAAAGCACUUUUGGCAGGAAAGAAACGUCAUGGGUUAAUACCCCGUGAAACUGACGGUACCUGCAGAAUAAGCAUCGUCUAACUACGUGCCAGCAGCCGCGGUAAUACGUAUGGUGCAAGCGUUAAUCGGAAUUACUGGGCGUAAAGCGUGCGCAGGCGGUUCGGAAAGAAAGAUGUGAAAUCCCAGAGCUCAACUUUGGAACUGCAUUUUUAACUACCGGGCUAGAGUGUGUCAGAGUGAGGUGGAAUUCCGCGUGUAGCAGUGAAAUGCGUAGAUAUGCGGAGGAACACCGAUGGCGAAGGCAGCCUCCUGGGAUAACACUGACGCUCAUGCACGAAAGCGUGGGGAGCAAACAGG